GACGAACGCUGGCGGCGUGCCUAAUACAUGCAAGUUGAGCGCUGAAGGUUGGUACUUGUACCAACUGGAUGAGCAGCGAACGGGUGAGUAACGCGUGGGGAAUCUGCCUUUGAGCGGGGGACAACAUUUGGAAACGAAUGCUAAUACCGCAUAAAAACUUUAAACACAAGUUUUAAGUUUGAAAGAUGCAAUUGCAUCACUCAAAGAUGAUCCCGCGUUGUAUUAGCUAGUUGGUGAGGUAAAGGCCCACCAAGGCGAUGAUACAUAGCCGACCUGAGAGGGUGAUCGGCCACAUUGGGACUGAGACACGGCCCAAACUCCUACGGGAGGCAGCAGUAGGGAAUCUUCGGCAAUGGACGAAAGUCUGACCGAGCAACGCCGCGUGAGUGAAGAAGGUUUUCGGAUCGUAAAACUCUGUUGGUAGAGAAGAACGUUGGUGAGAGUGGAAAGCUCAUCAAGUGACGGUAACUACCCAGAAAGGGACGGCUAACUACGUG
rnacentral:rRNA from 1 species